rnacentral:rRNA from 1 species
CAAUAGCGUAUAUUAAAGUUGUUGCAGUUAAAAAGCUCGUAGUUGGAUUUGUGGUGUACUUCGGCGGCCCGUCACUAUGUGAUGGAGCUUGCUGAAGUCGCCAUCCUUGGGUGGAUCCUGUGUGGCAUUAAGUUGUCGUGCAGGGGAUGCCCAUCGUUUACUGUGAAAAAAUUAGAGUGUUCAAAGCAGGCUUAUGCCGUUGAAUAUAUUAGCAUGGAAUAAUAAGAUAGGACCUUGGUACUAUUUUGUUGGUUUGCGCACCAAGGUAAUGAUUAAUAGGGACAGUUGGGGGUAUUCGUAUUUCAUCGUCAGAGGUGAAAUUCUUGGAUUUUUGAAAGACGAACUACUGCGAAAGCAUUUACCAAGGAUGUUUUCAUUA